rnacentral:rRNA from 1 species
GACGAACGCUGGCGGCGUGCUUAACACAUGCAAGUCGAACGGAAAGGCCCUGCUUUUGUGGGGUGCUCGAGUGGCGAACGGGUGCGUAACACGUGAGUAACCUGCCCUUGACUUUGGGAUAACUUCAGGAAACUGGGGCUAAUAACGGAUAGGAGCUCCUGCUGCAUGGUGGGGGUUGGAAAGUUUCGGCGGUUGGGGAUGGACGCGCGGCUUAUCAGCUUGUUGGUGGGGUAGUGGCUUACCAAGGCUUUGACGGGUAGCCGGCCUGAGAGGGUGACCGGCCACAUUGGUACUGAGAUACGGCCCAGACUCCUACGGGAGGCAGCAGUGGGGAAUAUUGCACAAUGGGCGGAAGCCUGAUGCAGCAACGCCGCGUGCGGGAUGACGGCCUUCGGGUUGUAAACCGCUUUCGCCUGUGACGAAGCGUGAGUGACGGUAAUGGGUAAAGAAGCACCGGCUAACUACGUG